rnacentral:rRNA from 1 species
UACAGAGGUCUCAAGCGUUGUUCGGAUUCAUUGGGCGUAAAGGGUGCGUAGGUGGCGCUGUAAGUCAGGUGUGAAAUUUCGGAGCUUAACUCCGAAACUGCAUUUGAUACUGCGGUGCUUGAGGACUGGAGAGGAGACUGGAAUUUACGGUGUAGCAGUGAAAUGCGUAGAGAUCGUAAGGAACACCAGUGGCGAAGGCGGCUCACUGGACCGGCAUUGACGCUGAGGUGCGAAAGCGUGGGGAGCAAACAGG